rnacentral:rRNA from 1 species
AUGUCAGAAAUCGUCAACAACCUCCUCGCCAAGCUCACCGACCUUCUGGGCGACGAGUGCCAGAAGCUCGAAGGGGUGGAGCAUCAUGUGCGGUUCCUCGAGGAGGAGCUCAGCACCAUGAAAGCCUUCCUGGAGGAGCUGGGGCUGAGGGAUGAACUAGAUCCCUUGACCAAGGACUGGCGGGACCAUGUCAGGGACAUGGCCUACGACAUGGAAGAUUGCCUCGAUGACUUCCUUCUCAAUCUUGGAAGUGCCAGUGAAAACGCUGGUUUUAUCGAGCGGACCACUCAACUUGUCAAGACCCUGUGGGCGCGUCACCAGUUUACAAGCCAGAUUCAGGAGCUCAAGGAUCGUGCCAUAAAGGCGAAUCAUCGACGCAAAAGGUACAAGCUUGAUGAUAGCAGUAGCUCUAGCUCUACCCUUGUGCUCGUCGAUCCUCGGGUGUCGGCACUCUACAGAAAGGCGGCCUCCCUUGUGGGUAUUGAUGGUCCAAGGGAAGAGCUUGUCAGUUGGCUAGCAGAUAGAGAGGAAAAACUCAAGGUGGUGUCGGUUGUGGGAUUCGGAGGUCUUGGUAAAACUACACUUGCCAAACAGGUGUAUGAUAAGAUCGGCGAACAAUUCAACUGUAAGGCAUUUGUGUCGGUUUCCCAAAGACCCGACAUGGCAGUGCUCUUGAUUGGGCUACAAUCUAAGCUUGGGGGAAACACUUGUGGCACUCACGAGGUGCAAGAUAUCGUCAGUGAGCUUCAAGAGUAUCUCAGAGACAAGAGGUACUUUAUUGUAGUCGAUGACUUGUGGGAUCGACGAAGAUGGGAUAUCAUUAGUUGUGCUUUUCCAGAUAGUGGCAAUGGGAGUAGAAUAAUAGUAACUACACGAGUGGAAGAUGUGGCUCGACAGGCAUGUCACAAUCGCCAGCAGUGCAUUUACAAAAUGAAGCCUCUCAACGACCAAGACUCAAAAAGGUUAUUCUUUAGUAGAGUGUUUGCGCCUCAGUAUGCCGAUGCAUCCCAAUAUGAAGAAAUUUCAACUCAAAUUUUGAAGAAGUGCGGUGGACUGCCACUCGCUGUUAUUACAAUAGCCGGCAUAUUAGCUAGUCGUCCAGGAAUAUUAAGGCAGGAUUGGGAGAGCAUAAGGAGUUACUUGGGAGUUCAAUCUGCCACAGACCUCAGCAUGGAAGGAAUGAGGCGUAUAUUAAACCUUAGUUACAUGCAUCUUCCUGCUCAUCUUCGGGUAUGUUCCUUACAUCUUGGUAUGCAUCCAGAGGACCACGAGAUCAUGAGGGAUGAUCUCGUUCGACAAUGGAUAGCCGAAAGCCUUGUGCGUGGUUUACCUGGGCAAGAUUUGGAGGAUGUUGGAAGGAGUUAUUUCAAUGAGCUUAUCAAUAGAAGCUUGAUUCAGCCUCAUUGGACAGUUGCUGGGGAUGUGCUUUCUUGCAGAGUGCAUGAUAUGAUUCGUGAUGUUAUUAUCAGCAAAUGUGAAGAAGAAAAUUUCAUGAGUGUGGUAUAUAGUUUUGAAGACAUGGAAAGACUGCAUAAAUCCAAGCUCAAGGUUCGCCGUUUGUUCCUGAGCUCGAGUUCUAAUUAUGCAACAGAUGGUGCAAUAUCAAGGACCACUGCUGCUAGUCUGUCAAAGGUUAGAUCGAUUGUAUCAUUCGGAGAGUCCAAGUGUUUGUUACCUAGAUAUCUCCAGGUGCUGUUCGUUGAAAACAGUAGGAUCACAGUCGAUCUCAGUGAUAUCAACCGAUUGUUUCAUCUGCGGUAUUUGAAGGUUACAGCACGAGACAUAAAGCUUCCGUCUGAAUUGAAAAGGCUAGUGCAUUUGGAGACACUGGAACUGGAUGGUGGUUCGAUUCCAUCAGAUGUAGUUCAGUUGCCCCGUUUAUUCCAUCUGACUGCUUGGGGUCACAGGCUGCCUGAAGGGAUCGAGAACUUGAAAUUAUUGCGAACUCUGAAAGGGUUUGAGUUGACACAUUGCUCGUGGGAGGAUAUCGAAGGCCUAGGCAAGCUAUCCAAUUUGCGGGAGCUCUGUAUCUUCAUUAAAAAUGAAAUAAUUGAUGAUGAUCUGGUCUCCUCCAUUGAAAAGCUUCGUAACCUGAGACAUCUCAGGUUUCGUGUGCCGGAGUUUGUUGACAGUGACAGUCUGUUAUCAUUAUCUAAUGCACCCCUCUAUAUCGAGACACUUCGAAUGUGCGAUAUCGUGACCUUCAGAAUUCCAAGGUGGAUUGGUGAUCUCCAUUAUCUCCGUCGUCUGGAGCUGGCUGUUAGGGAGACAUCGACAGAUGACAUUCGUCUUCUUGGAGAGCUGCGCUCCCUAGUGGAGCUCGAUUUCACUUUGUUGAAUUUCGCUGCAAAUGGAGUUAUCAUAAUCCUUACAGGAUUAUUUCCAGCUCUGGAGUACUUUGAGUCAAAAUUAUAUGAGGAACCAGAUUAUCAGUUAAACUCUGCGGAAGACGAUGUUAUGGCACACCUGCACUUUGAGGUCGGGGCAAUGCCCAAGCUACAAAGGCUCGAGCUGCAUUCAUGGGAGGUGCACUGGGGCGGCACUACCCCAGUCGGCAUGGAGGACCUGUUAGCUCUCCAGCAAAUUGUGGUAUCAUUCGUCUACAGCAGUGACGUGAAUGAAGUGAAGCGUCGUGCCGAGUCUGCGUUCAGGGACUCCUUGCAAGCGCACCCAAACCGUCCUUCUGUUCGCAUCUUUUAG